rnacentral:piRNA from 1 species
UUCUGAAAACAGAAAAGAUCCUUUAGG